rnacentral:lncRNA from 1 species
GAAACGAUGGCUGCCAUGGCAACCACAACCCUCUCUUCAAACCCGAAACUCUCAUUUUUCCACGGAAAGCCCGUUACAUAUUCUUCCCGCGUCGCACCCACCACCAAGUUAUUCUCAUCCAAACAAGGCACAAUCUCCAUGUCCCUAACCCAACCCCCAUACGACCUCCAAUCCUUCAAAUUCCAACCCAUCAAAGAAUCCAUCGUCUCACGCGAAAUGACGCGCCGCUACAUGACCGACAUGAUAACCUACGCCGACACCGACGUCGUAAUCGUCGGAGCCGGCUCGGCGGGGCUCUCCUGUGCGUACGAGAUCAGCAAGAACCCCGCCGUGAGCGUCGCCAUAAUCGAGCAGUCCGUGAGCCCCGGCGGCGGCGCGUGGCUCGGCGGACAACUCUUCUCCGCCAUGGUGGUUCGCA